GUUUGAUUGAUGACUUCAGUUGUCGGAUACCCCUUCACUCUUGUUCCGAGUGACACAUAACAAUCUGACAAAC
ensembl:snoRNA